UAAUGCUUUGUUUACUUCUCAACUGAAUUAAACUAAAUUUUAAUUUGAUUGUGCCGUCAUUUAAGAGUGUUGUCAACACCUUAAAUUAUUUGCACGAAAGCCAAAUUGUUCUCUAAAUACUCACACUUUGGCAAAUUAUAGCUGUGACUGUCGUUAUUUGUCGUUGUCGUUGUUAUUGUGCUCGCCCGAAGGCGAAUUAUACAAAUUGGUUGGGCCAGUUGAGACCACACGCCACCUGAUACGCACGCCAAGUCUGAUUUGGAGCCUAGGCAAACAGAUGCACAGGCUGAGAAAGUCGGGAGCCGGGAGUCUGGAGAGUCUGGGAGGUGGGGAACUCUGAGAAACUGGGAAGAGCCGCAUUCCGUAUAACGAGAGAGAUGAUGCACUGGCGAUAAUCAAGUUUCGUCUUGUUUUCGUAGUCGUGCGCUCAUGAUAAAUGUCACAACAUUAACAUCAAAUGACACGGACCAUCCGUCACUCAGUCGGAGUUUUGUUUUGCCCCUGAGCGAUCUCUGCUCUCUGUCUGUCUCUGUCCGUCUGUCUGUGCGUCUCUGUGUGUUCGACCAUCGAACUACUUCGAUUUGAUGCUCAUCAGCAUAGCUAAUCCCCCAGUGUCAGUGUCGCACGUCGAGAUUGUGUCUAUGUCUUUGCAACUGUAUCCGAAUCUGAAUCUGUAUUUUUGUCUCUGUGACUGAAGCUGAAACUGAAGACUGAACGCGUGGCGAAACCUAAUUAUAUAAUUGGCCAUUCGGGUCAAGGUUAUGCUUAAUUGGAGUGCAUCAAUGGGAGUUGCAUAGUCGCAUCAACUAAGCAAGUAGCUCGCUAAUUAAAAAGCCAUUUAUCAGUCGAGCCUAGAACCUCCCUCGCCUCCCUUCCGUAAUGCACUCGCCAACACCUGAAACUGUCGACCCAUUGUCAGCUGUCAUUGCCUGGAGCCAGUCCAGUUGUGUGGUGUGUGGUGUGCGGUGUGUGUUGUGACCAUGCGCGGUAGCCAAUUUUGAGUAGAAUUAAAACAAUAAGCGCUGACAAACGUCGCUUUUUUGAUAAUGGAACUCAACACAUGGCUGCUCAAUGAAUUUGGUUUUAGGCCAGUUAAUGUUCCGCCGCGACGCGACAAUUAAUGGUAAUUAUCUAUCGAAGCUGACAUUCAAAUGCGUGUAUAACCACAUACUCAUACUCCAAGCCACCUGGGUAUUGGGCAUAUUCAGAAUUGAGCAUUUGUGGCAUUUGGGUAUUCGCUUUGCUGUCCACCAAGUUCAUUCGCUCAUCGAGUCGCUCUCGAGUCGUAGUGAAUGGAAACCUGUUUCUGCAGCCCACAUUCAAAAUGUUCGGUGUGAAAAUUUAAUAAAAAAGAUAACAGACACAUUGUCGGAAACUUAAAAUUGAUGGUAAAUUAAAUGUGGUCUUAGUAAAAUAAUAAAGUUGUAUACAUUUGAGAGAAGCUAGAUUUUAAAUUGAGGAA